GACGAACGCUGGCGGCGUGCUUAACACAUGCAAGUCGAACGGAAAGGCCCUGCUUGCAGGGUGCUCGAGUGGCGAACGGGUGAGUAACACGUGGGUGAUCUGCCCCUUACUUUGGGAUAAGCCUGGGAAACUGGGUCUAAUACUGGAUAGGACCAUGCUGUAGGUGGUGUGGUGGAAAGAUUAGUUUCGGUAAGGGAUGAGCUCGCGGCCUAUCAGCUUGUUGGUGGGGUAAUGGCCUACCAAGGCGUCGACGGGUAGCCGGCCUGAGAGGGUGGACGGCCACAUUGGGACUGCGAUACCGCCCAGACUCCUACGGGAGGCAGCAGUGGGGAAUAUUGCCCCAUGGGCGCAAGCCUGAUGCAGCGACGCCGCGUGGGGGAUGACGGCCUUCGGGUUGUAAACUCCUUUCAGCCAUGACGAAGCCCUUGUGGUGACGGUAGUGGUAGAAGAAGCACCGGCUAACUACGUG
rnacentral:rRNA from 1 species